GCCGAGCAGCGCCGGGCUCUGCCGUCCUCCCGAGUGCCGGCACUGCCUCCGGCAUUAAGGCGACCGGCAGCUUUCGUCGCCGCCCGUCUGCUUCGGCCGUUGAGCGACAGAAGACGCGGCGCUGGGGCGCGGCUCGGGCAGGCCGAGCCUAAUCUCCGUCCCGCGUUCCUCCUCCUGCGCUCUUUUUCAUGGAAAGCUGUGCCAGCUUCUGCAAACGUACAGCUUCCUGAAAAAAUAUAACAGAGUUGAACAGAGAGAGCUUGUGAAACAAGAGAUCUUGAAGGCAAAGCACAAGGGCAGGGAGAAGCUCAGCCUCGGAUAGGUGUACAUGGCCGCAGCCAGCAGGCGGGCAAGAAGAGGCUAGCAGAGACACAGCCAAAGAGCAGCGAGACCACCUCAGCUACGGAGCAGCCAGAGCGCCUGAAAAUGCGACAAGCACCAGGUACCACAGACACGCACUCAGGGGAGAGACCCCUUCACCAGGGGCUGUUCCCCACGCACGGGGUCCCCUCCCCAGGUGUCACAGUUUUAUGACUUUUGGCUAUCAGUAUUCCACACCAUAACAUCAUGUAAUGCACUGGGGGUUUGACUUUUAAUGCUCAGUUCUGAAUAUUUGUCCGACGGAGGAGAACUACAUUUCCCAAGGAGGCUUUGCGGUCAGCGAGGAGAUAUAACUGUGUGCAAGGUCACCUGAUCUUUCUUCUUUGCCUGCUCUAUUCCAUCUGCACUUCUCCAUUUGCAAUUUGCCGUCUGCUGUUAUCCAUCUGCUCAACUGAACUGCACCUACACCUCAGCGUUGUGACAAGACCUACCUACCUGACAAACUCUCUAUCUCUCUCAUUGUAUUUUGCUGAUUGCUAAACGACAUUGCUCGACGUCGGAUUGUUGCUGCUGUUUUCAAUUGCUUUGGAGCUGAUGCAGGUGAAGAAGAGCAUAGAAAGAAGAAGGAUGAGGUGACCUUGCAUACAGUUAUAUCUCCUUGCUGACCGCACAGCCACCUGGGGAAAAGUAGUUCUCCUCUGUCGGACAAAUAUUUGGAACUGAGCAUUACAAAUAAAACCCCCAGUGCAUUACAA